GAUGAAGAACGUAGCGAAAUGCGAUACGUAGUGUGAAUUGCAGAAUUCAGUGAAUCAUCGAAUCUUUGAACGCACAUUGCACCUCUCGGUAUUCCGGGAGGUAUGCCUGUUCGAGCGUCAUUUGUACCCUCAAGCUCUGCUUGGUGUUGGGUGUUUGUUCCGCCUCUGUGUGUGAACUCGCCUCAAAACAAUUGGCAGCCGGCGUACUUGUUUCGGAACGCAGCACAUUUUGCGAUCCAGAUCAACGUACAGCGGCAUCCAAGAAGCCUUAUUUAACGCUCUUGACCUCGGAUCAGGUAGGGAUACCCGCUGAACUUAAGCAUAUCAAUAAGCGGAGGA
rnacentral:misc_RNA from 1 species